UGGGGAAUAUUGCACAAUGGGCGCAAGCCUGAUGCAGCCAUGCCGCGUGUAUGAAGAAGGCCUUCGGGUUGUAAAGUACUUUCAGCGGGGAGGAAGGGAGUAAAGUUAAUACCUUUGCUCAUUGACGUUACCCGCAGAAGAAGCACCGGCUAACUCCGUGCCAGCAGCCGCGGUAAUACGGAGGGUGCAAGCGUUAAUCGGAAUUACUGGGCGUAAAGCGCACGCAGGCGGUUUGUUAAGUCAGAUGUGAAAUCCCCGGGCUCAACCUGGGAACUGCAUCUGAUACUGGCAAGCUUGAGUCACGUAGAGGGGGGUAGAAUUCCAGGUGUAGCAGUGAAAUGCGUAGAGAUCUGGAGGAAUACCGGUGGCGAAGGCAGCCCCCUGGACGAAGACUGACGCUCAGGUGCGAAAGCGUGGGGAGCAAACAGG
rnacentral:rRNA from 1 species